rnacentral:rRNA from 1 species
GAUCAUGGCUCAGAACGAACGCUGGCGGCAGGCUUAACACAUGCAAGUCGAGCGAGACCUUCGGGUCUAGCGGCGGACGGGUGAGUAACGCGUGGGAACGUGCCCUUCUUUAUGGAAUAGCCCCGGGAAACUGGGAGUAAUACCGUAUACGCCCUUUGGGGAAAGAUUUAUCGGAGAAGGAUCGGCCCGCGUUGGAUUAGGUAGUUGGUGGGGUAAUGGCCACCAAGCCGACGAUCCAUAGCUGGUUUGAGAGGAUGAU